rnacentral:lncRNA from 1 species
AGGAAAUCGAAAGAGCUUCAAUAAAAGCCAACAUUAAAUCGAGUGUUAGAUAAAAAUAUUCGUUCUAAAACCUUUAUUUUUUCGAGUAAUAUCCAAGUAUUACCACUUAUCUUUAAAGAAUGGACUUUCUUGUGUUCUUAGCCGUUAAAAAAGGGCUGCAAAUUCCUUCAAAAGAUGCUAUUCUGUGAAGCUUACUGAAUUACAACACGUGGUUGAAGCUUGAAGUGUGAUGGUCUUUUCGCUUCGAUACCAGCGCCGUAACCUGUUCAGAAGGUGCUGAAAAUACUCUGGCGUGUCUGCUUCUAAGGUAUUUGGGCUUGUUCUUGUGUUGAUAUAGUUUAAAUCUUGAUGUAUGAAAGAUAUAACAUAUGUCUCAAUUUGCUGGGGUUUAUUAAAAGCAGGGUUUUAAUUAAAAAUUAUCAACCAACGUAGUUAGUGCCAGUGGUAACAAGCUUGUGUUAGUAAGGAUUCAACUAUCUCAAAAAACAAAGCAAAAUUAAACGUUUUCAGCGAAGGCCUUUUUUGGCAACGCCCAGAUUAUGCAUCAGUCAAUUCCAGCUGCCCCCCCCCCCCCCCCCCCCCCCGGACAGUGUGUGGCAUUUGUACGCUUACUUGUCCCCAUGGCCAGGCACUUGCAGCUGCGUGUUCACCCAGGGGCCGGGCAUUUGUCAAUAUCAGGCUAUUACCCCCGGGCAUUUGUUGUAUCCUUCGUUGUAUGCCAAAAUGAUAUAUGGCGACAAGAAAACAAUUAAGAAUGUUUAUAUUAUCACUUUUUCGACAGCAACUUAUUAAGAAAGCUAUGUUGGUCUUAUUGAUCUUCCAAAAUAAGUGAUGUUUUGUUUGAAUUCCAAUUGAAACAUAACAAACAUCGUGUUGGUUCGCUUGUACCUUGUAUAUAAUUUUUUUCCUGUGACCAAACGAAAAGUACCCUGGUUGCCAGAGGUUCUGUAUCUUUCGCCUUAUUCCCGCUCGUAUUUAUUUUACGCGAGGGAAGAGAACCUCUGGUGGUACGCGAUACAAAUCUCUCUUCCUUUGGUACAAAAUUUGUACCAAGCACAUGAUUGGUUAGUUAUAAUUAGCAGUCACAUGAAGUGAUGUGAUUGGCUAGACAAAAAAACCUGUUUAUAAAUCUCAGAGAACAUGAUGUAAACAAAAUACAGAAAUAAUACGAACGUAUUAAAUUUAAAAUGCUUACUCAGUGCGAGAUUGUCUAUUUGGCAUGGGUGGGUGGGUCGUGCGUCGUGGGUCGUGGGUCGUGCGUCGUGGGUCGUGCGUUAGUAAAUCGCAAAAAAAAUUUAAAACCGAACUAUACCAUGAACUGCCAAAAUUUUGCACCAAUCUUUUUAGCUAUAUGCCACAUCUCUAUUAACUAUGACCACAUUGGCAAAAAUGCUGGGUGAACUUGUGGGUGGUUGAAUUUAAUUACAGUAAUUUAACUUGUAAAAGACAUCGGUGACCUCCAAAUUUAGGCUGUUGCGGUAUAUCGAUAAACCGAUAAUUAUCUUUUUUUAUCAAAAUACCGAUUACUCGAUAUUGGAAUUUUCAAUAUAUCGGAAUAUCGAUAUUUUUCGGUAUUAUCGAUAUCACGUUUACGUUUGUAUAUUUAAACGCCAUAUCAAGCUUUUUCAAAUUUCAAGCGCUGAUUGAAGUUACUCAGAAGGACAAAGACGAUCAAUGUGUUAACUCCGCGGGAAAAUCCGUCAAUUAAGGUUAGAACGCGAUCUAAAACGUGUUUGUUUAUACGUUACGUUGGCGUACGUUGCAAGGUACGGUAAUAUGUCAUUUAGCUUAGUUAUAGGUAAUAUGUCAUUUCGCUCGUGAACUUUUAGAACGUAAACAACGGUGGAUUACAAAUGUUUUAGAAAAACAAGAACUAACCUCAUUGGACAUUGUUAGUUUUCUGCUGAUAUAUGACGAUCUUUGUUUCGAACUCGCAGUUAAAUAAAAUGUUUUGAAACAAUUUCCCGGACAAAAAUAUCACACAUGUUUCAUCCGAUGCGGUAAGCAAUGCUAAUAUUAGGUAAUAUGCAUUUUCAAUUUGUAAAGCGGACACAUCACAGGCUACUGAUCACUGGCCUCACACUUUAUUGAAAAUAUCACGCACCCAAUGAGUCAAAGCUGUUAUACCGUGGCUGUUUGGCAGCAUUUGAAAACAGAAAAUUUUGCAUAAAAUUAAGCAAAUUUUGCAUAAAAUUAAGCAAAAUACAAUCGCGAAAAAAUAUCGGUAUUAUCGGUAUUUUUUUUCCGGUAUCGGUUUUCGUUUUGUUUUUCAAAUACCGCAACAGCCUACCCCCAAUUUUUAUUUCAUAAAAUGAUUUCUUUUAGUACACUCAAUUGUUUUGACAAUUUAUUAAAAUACCGAUCUAAAUGGUGAAUUUUCCAUUUUUUUGAAAACUGUGUCACUCCAUUUUUUUGAAAACCGUUACGGCCUACUUUAGGGGCCGAUUACAUGGAGAACUUUCAACCCCGCGGUUGAACUCUGCCCUGUUAACCGGGUUGAAAUCUUUUGCGAUUACAUGGACGAUUUCAACCCCGGGGUUGAAACGCUAUACUAUACGUUCUCGGCAUCGAUUCCCGGAAGUAAAAAAGCCUUUAUUUUGUUUUCUUGUAAUAAAUAAUCUCUACCACGUAUGCUCGAAUAACUCAUGAUAAUUUCAACCCAGGGCUGAGUUCAACCCCGGGGUUGAAAUUUCAACCCUGUUAGCUGAAGCAGGGUUGAAAUUUCAACCCGGGGUGAAAUUUCAACCCUGCUAGCUGAAGCAGGGUUGAAAUUUCAACCCCGGGGUGAACUCAGCCCUGAGUUGAAAAUUUUGUCAUGUAAUCGCGCGUUUGAUUUUGAUAGAGUUUUGUAUUACAAACAGGGCUGAAAUUUCAACCCAGUAAACAGGGCUGAGUUCAACCCCGGGGUUGAAAAUGCUCCAUGUAAUCGGCCCCUUACGCAAACGUGAAUUCCAAUUGCAACUUUCAUGCUUACUUUUGUCUGUUAUCUGGGCGGUAUGCUAGCUCGUCAAAAUUUUAAGUAUUUAAACGGAUAACUGCAUUGAAAACUCCUUCAAAACAGUACAUUUCAGUUUAAUUAAGGAUUCUUCAGUCAGGGUGGGGCAAAAUUGCUAAAGGGCCCAUUCUCUCCUUGUCCUCCCCCAUGCAGGAUAGUAUACGAUCGCCGAAGGUGUGAGCCGAGUACCGUAGGCUCGAGUUAGCUAGUGAUGGUUUUAAAAUUUGGGUCUCUGAAAUAGCAUUUCGUGCAUUCUAAGGACACAUUUUUUAAAAAAGUUUUAAUCAGGUGAAAUUUGUAAUAAAUUGCAUGCUAAACAUUCAAACACAACAUAAGUUCAGUUCAAACACAACAUAAGUUCAGUUACUAGUAUGCUGCACCAACAAAUUUAGUUUAUUAAACUUUUUUUCAAUGUUAAACUCAUUUACUCAUACAAGUCCUAGGGACCUGGCUUUGGGGCAAUAGCCAUUGCCAUUUUUUUCACCAGUCCACAGUAUUAAAAAAUGCCUUGCUUCAAAAAUAGCACAUUACACUCAUGGCAUAAAAUUAGAUUACAACACGACUGGAUAACAGUCUUACCAGAGGAAAUCAUGAAAGUGGCAAUUGCAUGCAGUCGCGUUUGCGUAAAAGUAGGCCGUACUGAAAUUUUCAUAUCUCAACGGGCAUUUUAGGUAUAUUUAAACCGAUAACUGCAUUGAAAAGCCCUAGAAAAACAGCACAUUAUAGUAGCAUAAAAUUUGAUUACUACAUGCACAGAUAACCGAGAAAAUUAAGCAUGAAUGUUGCCAUUGUAAUUCGCGUUUGUGUAAAAGUAGGCCGUACUGAAAUUGUCAUAUCUCAACGGGAAUUAACGUUACUUUUAGGAUGAUAACUGCAUUAAAAAGCCCUUGAAAAACAGCACAUUAUAGUGGCAUAAAAUUAAAUUACUACAUACCCAUGCAGAUAACAAAGAAAAAUAAGCAUGAAAGUUGCAAAGGUUGGGAUUUUAAUUCUGCAUGAAAAAUACAAAUACCACUCUAUAUUCCUUCAUAUCCGCAUUUUACCCUCUCACCGUCCGUUUGCAUUUUACCCUCUCAUCCGUCCGCAUUUUACCCUCCUGUCCGCCCGUUUUUUACCCUCUCAUCCAUCCGUCCGUCCGUCUGCCGUCUAUCUGUCUUAAAAAAUAUUUCCAUUGUCUAUACGACGCUCAACACCGUACCCACGACGCACGACCCACCCACCCACGCCAUUUAGCCAUCCUCACUCAGUGCGGGUUAUUUGUUCCGCUAUAAAAAUAUUUUCUGCGCUGGAGAAGAGCUGCCAUCGCAGCAUGACAUGUUCACUCUAUACAGUAGUAAUAUUUGUAAAAUAUAAAGUGUUGUCACUUGCUUAUUGUUCAAGUUUUUAAAUUUUGUCAAACAGUCUGAAGAGAGCUAUUUUGGUAGUAUGACAAAUCCGGAAGUUUAAAAACGUCACAAAAUAUAAAACCGGUUUUGCAAGUUCUCAAACAGCAACGUCAGCAUGGAAGAGAGAUUUGUAUCGCGUGCCACCAGAGGUUCUCUUCGCCUCGCAUAAAAUAAAUACGAGCGGGAAUAAGGCGAAAGAUACAGAACCUCUGGCAACCAGGGUACUUUUCGUUUGAUCACAGGAAAAAAAUUAUAUACAAAGGUACAAGCGAACCAACACGAUGUUUGUUAUGUUUCAAUUGGAAUUCAAACAAAACAUCACUUAUUUUGGAAGAUCAAUAAGACCAACAUAGCUUGCUUUCUUAAUAAGUUGCUGUCGAAAAAGUGAUAAUAUAAACAGUCUCAAUUGUUUUCUUGUCGCCAUCUUGAAUUUCGUAGCAAAUGGUCAGCGGCUCUGAAUCUUCCUGAACAGGAAGAAGUAAGAUGACUCUGAUUGACUCUGACAGCGACUUAAGCAUUGGGGAAUCAGAAUUUGACAGUGAGCCAGAGAACGAGUCCGAUUCAGAGCUACUUUGGUAAAAGUUUUUCAAGUGACUAUAUUCUUUGACAGUGAAUUAAUUAUGAUAAAGUGAUGAAGUAUAACAUAAGUAUUAAGCAUCAUUUGAUUAACCUAUUGAGUGGCGAUGCACCCUACUUUAGUAUUUUACUCUGUCUAACACCAGACAAUAUUACUCGUCAAGUCGAGAACGCUGGCACUUAAUGGGUUAACUGGCCUAUCUGCCCAUGUGUCUAGUUAACCCAUUGAGUGGCGAUGCACCCUACUUUAGUAAUUUUUUUACUCUGUCUAAUGCCAGACAAUUUUACUCGUCAAGUGGGGAGCGCUGGCGCUUAAUGGGUUAAUGAUUUCGGACUCAAAAAUUAAUACUAAUAGUGUACAUUGCCAUUCUGUUUAUGCUGCUGUAAAAAUUAAACUACUAGUAACACAUUAAAGUACAUUGUCAUUGACAAGUAUAAAUGCAAAUGUCAUCUAAAUCUAACAUGUUAACUGUUCUACUUUGUCUUUUUACUUAUUCUGUAUUAUUUGAUUGUUAAUUUGCGGCGAAAAUUUUUUAAAGAGGCUGUCAAGUCCGUUCUGCUCAUGCACAUGUUUUGUUUACAUUUUUUGUGAUAAUUUAAUUAAAAUUCUGAUCUGGGGGUCUCCAAGUUAGCCUGCGUGGCAAGCCCUCGAAUUUAUGAGGGGGGCCUGAUUUGCAGCGGGCAGGAUUUUGGCGGGCUCCAGGGGAGGAUUAAGGGCCUGCAGGAAAGCCCGCCUUUCAUGACUACACGCCCCAGUCAUAACAUAACACUGGUUUCUAAAAAUAUUCGCUUGCACGUAAAAAUGUCAAUCAAGCAAUAUUGCGAAUUAAACUCAAUACUAUAAUACAAUUUAAUACAAUAUUGCAGAUUUUGUAAGUGUUGUUUUAAAUGAAAUUAAAUUAAACAGCAAUUUGGCAAUUUUAGUAAAAUUGUUGAUGUUUCAUCACAAAAAACCAUCCAAAAGAAAACAAUCUUUCGGAAUUGUGCUCUCAGAUUAUGUGUGAGAAAUACACUACAGUGCUACACGAGAAGUUUCAACACCAUUACCAGGGCCAAAGAUGUAGAAACAUCAGGAAAGCGUAAACUGUUAAUUCCUGACCCGCUGACCGUGGCGCUAGUCCAUUCAACCAAACCGAAUCAAAUACUAGGGUUUUCCAAAUGCUAGGGUUUUCCACUGACUUGGUAUUGACCAAUCAGGUGAUCGUAUUCACCGUUCAGAAUCUGAACAGCGUCAAAGAGUAAAGAUAUAAAGAGAGUUCACUCGGUGAAAAAUGCCGUGUUUAGGUCAUCACACAGAUUUGCGAGGCUGACGCCAUUUACACACCAUCAAAAGCAAAUUAAAUAUUCAAAAAAAAUUUAAUAUGCAGCAGCCAGUACCGUCGCUGCAUUUUCAGUCAAAACUAUAGGGAAAACAUAGUUCGAAAUGCAAAAAGUGGCAUUUUUAAGGAGGGGGGUUGCCGAAAUUUGUCGAGUUAAAAAAAUUUUUGCGGAAGAUUUUGAAGUUUUGCUUUAGAGAGGUGACCUUGGUGUGGGUCCACCCCCCUUUGCCUUAUGAUCGUUCCGGCGUCCCUGCAUAUGAUGCCUAAUAUAGGACAAGAAAUUUUAACUUUUGUGCUUAUUCCUAGGAGUAAGGGGGGCUAAUGAAUGUAGUGGUCGUCGCCCUGUAGUGUUUCCGGUUAUAUUAUUCUCAAAUUUCAAGACUUCAAGUAUCUUAUAUUAUCGAGUAACCCGAAUAUCAUUAUAAUAUCAUUAGACUCUUAUUCCCUUUAACUCGUUUAUACUAUUAAACUUAGCUGAAAGCAGCAAGUGACCCAAAAGAAUAAUUGUGCAACUAGUGUAAACAUUUAAAAAUUGCAGCAAGCAACACAAAAUGGAUUAAACAUUAAAAAAUUUUAGUACUUUUUGCUCCUAGGAAUAAGAGAAAAAAAUGAAAAGUGUUGUCCUAUUUCAGGCAUGGUAGAUCAGGCCCCCCAUAAAUUUGAGGGCCUGCCAUGUGCACAGGCUAUCUCCAAGUCAGCUCAUUACACAUAAAUUAAGCUUAAUUUGAGCCUUGUUGUACAACAAUUAUAGUAAUAAAUACAGAAUCCAGGGUGCAUUCCAUGUAAGAUCCUUUACUCCAAUACAUUGGAGAUUUUCAAUUUUGGGGACUUGAAUCCAAGUUUUGAAAUAGCUAAUAUGGUGUGUUUUUAAUACGUAUUGCAUGUCAACAUCGUAUUCGUGUAGUUAUACUGUCGACUGGCACAAACUAAUCACUUGUUUUCGAGUGAUCUCACGCCAUUACACCAACACUUUUGUAACCUCACGCCGGAUAUAUCCAGCGUGGAGUGCAUGGAAUGCACACUGGUACAGAAUAUAUAGAGAAUAUAUAAAAUAUAAAAAUAUAUACAGAAUAAUAAUAAUAUAACAUAUAUAUUAGAAUAUAUACAGAAUCUAUAUAUAUUCUUGCAUUUAUUCUGUUUGACAAUUUUGUCAUUUUGUUUUUUCAAAUUUUGAAAUUUUUUACGCUCUCUCUCUCUACUUAGGAUAAAAAGGAUUAUACUAGCCUAUAUUCUUGUUUGCAUGAUAUUUAAAUUAUAAGUUGUGAAGUUUUGUGUAAUGAUGUUUUGUAACAGGUCACUAACGUAAUUGGCUCACGCUGUGUUAGUGUUCCCGAACCGUCUUCCUGUUUGCAUAUGUUUAUAUUUCUGUUGACAGCUGAAGUUAAUAAAUAAAUAAAUUAUCCAUGUGCAUGUCUUCUUCCAUUCCAUGGCUGAAGGCAUGAGAAAGUCUGGCAGCAUGCUGCCAGGAAUUGUUUUAAUCUCACAGGAAAUGUUUAAGAAAAAGCAAGAUAUCAAGAGUAAAGCUUGAGAAAUUUCAAAAAUCAGCAUUAAAGUAACAAACAUCACAAUUAGAGCAUAAAUACAAAAAUCAUGACAUAAAAAUUUGUAUCAUAUGGCAGUGCUACGACUGUCUGUUAUCAUGAUUCAUGAUUAUUAGUCGAAACUCGAAAGUGAUCAUUUUGAUGAGAGAAGGAAAGUUUUGUGAGUUGGGGGCUCUUUAUGUACUAUUUAAAAAACGAGCAGGAGUGUUUUAUUAGGUUUAAAGCCACGAGCGUGCAGCGCGAGUGGCUUUAGACCUAAUAAAACACGACCCGCGAGUUUUUUAAAUGACUUCAAAAACGUAUGCAUAAUAAGUCAAAUCUUUAUAUAAAAACUUUAUAUAAAAAUCUUUAUAUAAAAAUCUUUAUAUAGUUUGCAUAACAAUGGUCUUUUGUUAAAGUGUUCUUUAGCUGGUAUAAAGACGUAUGCACGUGACUAAUUUCUUACUCAAGAUUGGAUAAUUGCUUCAUGAAUUAUUAAUGAGUUUUUGAAGAAUUUUUAAAAAAUUUCCUGUGGUACCCUUUCUGUUGCACCCUUUGUCUGCUAUAUAUGUUGUCAGUUGAUAUCUGUAAAUAACUAUAUUAAAAUCUCUCAUUGUUUAGGUGUUUUGUUCCAAGAGAACUUGGAUCAGUGAUCAGUCAUCAAAGUUGAACCGGGUGAUACGACAGGAAAAGAAAGAUUAUUUUCUACGAAACAGAAUCAUUUACAGUUGCA